rnacentral:tRNA from 1 species
AUUUAUCUAAUAUAUAAUAAGUAUAUUUGACUUCCAAUCAAAAAGUUUGUCCUUUACAAGAUAAAUA